AUUGAACGCUGGCGGCAUGCCUUACACAUGCAAGUCGAACGGCAGCACAGGUGCUUGCACCUGGUGGCGAGUGGCGAACGGGUGAGUAAUACAUCGGAACAUGUCCUGUAGUGGGGGAUAGCCCGGCGAAAGCCGGAUUAAUACCGCAUACGAUCUACGGAUGAAAGCGGGGGACCUUCGGGCCUCGCGCUAUCGGGUUGGCCGAUGGCUGAUUAGCUAGUUGGUGGGGUAAAGGCCUACCAAGGCGACGAUCAGUAGCUGGUCUGAGAGGACGACCAGCCACACUGGGACUGAGACACGGCCCAGACUCCUACGGGAGGCAGCAGUGGGGAAUUUUGGACAAUGGGCGAAAGCCUGAUCCAGCAAUGCCGCGUGUGUGAAGAAGGCCUUCGGGUUGUAAAGCACUUUUGUCCGGAAAGAAAUCCUUGGCCCUAAUACGGUCGGGGGAUGACGGUACCGGAAGAAUAAGCACCGGCUAACUACGUG
rnacentral:rRNA from 1 species